CAGCAGGGGGCCAGGGCCAGGAGAUAGAACACCCUCCAGCCUGAGGCUUGGGGACCCUGGCCCGAGAAAGCCAGCAGCAGAGGUCUCCAGCAGCCUGGUGUUCUCCAGUCGCUCUCUUGCAGAAUGCCCACUGAGGCCCCCGGCGCUGCUUUUGUCCUGAGGACAGCAGCGCACCUUCCGCAGCACCUGUGGCCCCUGGACGUCUGUCACCCGAACCCUCGCCAGGUGGGGAACCCGUGAUGUGAGGGCAGCACGAGGUGGCCCCUCGAUGGGUAACAUGGCCCCCAAAUUAGGGCCCCGAGCUGCCCCACUCCCUGCCUGAGCCAGGGCUUGGGGGAGGCUGGGCCCAGCUGGUGGCUGCAGGAUGCUGUGGUGGGGCCAGCCGGGUGUCCCCUACAUGGAGGACAAGCUCAGCAGGCUGGCAACCCCACCCGGCCUGCCCUCCUGCCCCACCACUGCUCAGCACACACCCCCUCCCCAAGGACUUUCUGUCUCAUUCCUGACACCCCCGCACAGGGUGGAGAGGCUGGCACCCGGCAGCUCAGUCACCCCAGAGGAGACCUCAGAACCUCGGCUGUGUCCCUGGGUCCCAUGGGGCUGCGAGCAGCUGCCUCACAGGCCAGAUUUCAGGCGUGUGCUUGUGGGCGUGCCUGUGCACACACCCCCACCCACGCGUAAGCCCCCACUGGGCUCUCCCACCCCAACCGCACACAGGCCCUUGGCCCCGGCAUGUACUCGGCGGAGGGUGCCGAGCAGGCCUGGCUGCCGCAGCCCCCUGAAGCCAAAGCGCCCUCAAGGAUGUGCCGUUGCCAUGGUGACCCGUGGGCACUCAGCAGGCGCCCCUCCCGCCAGCCACCUCCCCAAGCAAGUGCUCCCCCAACUCCGUCUCCUGGCCAGUCCCGAAGCUGAAAGAAGGCCAGUCCUCGGGGCUGCACGGGCUGUUUGGGGGCAGGAAACCUCAGGAGGCCCAGCCUCAGCCCCCACCCUGGUCCCGGGGUGUGGCCGUCCCUGGGUCCCCUCCAGGUCCCCCGGCAGGUCCCGGUCAAUCAGCAUCACGUGCUCCUCUCAGCAGCAGAGGAAGCGGGGCACUGAGUGGGCCUCCCCCACCCCCGACGCCCAUGAGGGUGGCUCUGUGGGGGUGGGGAGAUGACCAGACAGGUGGGUGGAGCCAGAAAGGGCCUCCCAGAGGCUGCAGACCUGACGUUUCAAACCUCCAAACCCCUCCCAUUUCUGGAGCCUCCCCAAGGCUGCAAGUCGAAACCACAGCAGUGCCCCUGAGACUGGAGCAGGUGACAGGACUGUCACCGCAGGAGCUUUGCAGGUCCUGCACCCCGGCCACCCCCAGAGCUGCUGCAGCUCUUCUUGUUUUGUGACCACCUCAGCGAGAGGAGUGACCGCCCAGGACACUCUCUGGGUCGAGGCCCAGGGGACACCCAGAGCCCCACGGAGCCCGUAAGCAACAUGCUGGAGCCGGAACACAGUUGGGGAGCAGCAAGGCAGAGGGGUCCCUGGGGGUGGCGGUGCCCCAGGUUGUCCUCAGCACCACCCCGCUGCCCAUUGCUCCCACGCCUCCACACAGGGUGGACCUCAGGCUGUGUGCCAAGGCCAGCUGGCCAGGGGUGCCUGACGCCACGUGCCCAGUUUGGCAGGGCCCCCCCUCCCCCGCUCCAGGACUGAGCAAGGCCAGGCCCGGCCACAUGCCACCAGCCACCUCACCUCGCGCACCCGGACAGGUGAGCCCCAGGUUGCCCCAGCCUGCCCACUGCACGGGCCCCAGCCACCCCGUCCGCCCGUCCGUCCCCUGGCAGCGCACAGGUGAGCACAGGUAGGCCGGAAACGCGUCUAUUGCCACAUCUAUCCCUGCUCCGUCCACUCAGAGGCCCGGCAGCAGUGACCCCCGAAACCAUGCCCGCGGUGCCAGGCCGCUUCCAGAACACUCCCAGGCCCGCUCCAGCACAGCGUCGCGUGUGCCCGGAAGACAAGGUCGCAGACGGCUCUGCUGUUUGUUUCAGAAACUCACUGGAAAACCCACUUAGACAAACCUCACGCCACGCAGCUCUUCAUCACGGAGCGCCCAGCCACAGCUCUGCCCCCCGGCCUCGCCACCCACCUUCGCGUGACUAUGGGGCCGAAGCGAGCCCAGCACGGAGGCCCCCUUCCAACCAGACCCUGAGCCCAGACACAUCCGCCUGGCCCUCGGCCUGGGGUUCGCCCACACCGGCCCUCGGGAGGGCAGGCCGGCUGGGUCUGGGCUCCAGGGAGCCCACUGAGCUGUAACCAGGGCGUCACAAGCGCCGCUCGGCAGUGAUGCACCGGUUGGUGGGUCCGCGCUGCCCACCAGGUGGCGCUCUCUGGCCGGCUCCUGUGCGAGGGCUCAGCCGGGAGAGCCUUCGCGAACACACCCGCAGUCCUGUGACUCGGGGCAGGGACCCAGAAGACCCCUCACCAUCAGGCCGAGACCGCCCGACGCCAGCUUUGAGGACUAAGACGCCCCCGAGCAAAGAAGGAGGCACGUCCGCCCUGUGCUGAUUCCUGUGUGAAAACUGCCUUCUCCCUUUCCCGUCAGACUCGCUGUAACUCUUCCCAGUGCAGGCACGGUCUUGGAGGCAUUAGCUUGCUGAGGCCUCCUCUGCCCGGCAAAGCCGUAAGAGCCAGCUUUUUCUGCCUCCAUAACUCGGGCUCCUGGUCUCUAUUCGGUACCAGUGGACAGAGGCCAAAUUCUGGCAACACACCCACCGCACAAAGCACAGGGGCCGCCUUGGAAGGUCCUGGCAGGGGCAGCGGCUCCCAAGGCAGCGCAGGGUCAAGGUCGCUCCAGGAAGGAGGGUGCCAGGGACAGAGGGGAGGGAGGCUGCUAAGAGAAGAGAGAUGCCCCCCUCCACCAAGGAGCCCCCUUGCAGGGCCACUCGCUGCUGAGACCUGGGCCUGCGGUCCUGCCCACAGGAGAGGGGCAACCUCGUGCCAGUAUCAGGGGACUCCUGGUCGUGGUGGGAAGAGACCGCCUGCUCACCCUCCUCCCCAGGCUGGGCAGGGCAGGCGGCAGGGGGGCGCACCAGGCCGCCUGGGCUGGAAGCUCUGCCCCUCACCAGCUGUGGGACUCCGAGCCUCAGCUUCCCAUUUGAAAAUGGGGACACCUCACCCCGAGCAUGCAAGAGGGGAACAGCACCCCGAGACGUCAGCCAGGCCUGGCAUACACCUCAGGUCCCCCACCGGGCCCCACCCCUGCCCUCCCCCACUUCAGCCCAGCCCUGGGCAGGGGGGAGGGUGGGCUGAGAGGCGCCCCAGGCCUCCCACCGGCUGAGCUGAUGGCGGGAGCGGGGGGCGGGGGAGGUACCAGAACAGGGUAGAGGCUGGUCCCCCCACGAGGCCACAGGGUGGCCACUCGCCACCGGCUCCACCCAGAGGAGCAGACACCACGACCAUUUCCCGAGUGACUUGGGAGUGGCCGAGGGGGGCCCUGCAGCCCGAGCCCAUGGCUGUAUCCUGUCAGUGAGCCCCCCGCUCCUGC